CUGCGGGCGGGAGUCUCCUUGUUUACCAAAGCAGAGGGCGUGUGGGAGGCGGGGGCCGUCGCUCGCUCCCGCCUCCUCGGAAACCUUGUCCCCACAACCGCUGCGUGUUAAAAAGGACAAAACUGACUCGCAGCUUGAAAAACACUCAGAAAGCUACCAUCACUACAGGUUUCUAUAAUUAACUCCUGAACUGCAAUUGGUCUUUCAACUGUGUCUCCUCCAAGAAGCCCUGCAUUGUCUUCUCCAACAAUGUCUCCUCCAAGAAGCCCUACAUUGAUUCAUAAACUAAGGAAUUUUCAUAGGUUUCCAUGAUUUUAAAGAAGCGUUAUGAAUUUUUAAGUAAUUCUUACUGUUUGAAGGUGCUUGCAGAU
rnacentral:lncRNA from 1 species